rnacentral:rRNA from 1 species
AAUUUUGGACAAUGGGCGAAAGCCUGAUCCAGCAAUGCCGCGUGCAGGAAGAAGGCCUUCGGGUUGUAAACUGCUUUUGUACGGAACGAAACGGUCUGCCCUAAUACGGCGGGCUAAUGACGGUACCGUAAGAAUAAGCACCGGCUAACUACGUGCCAGCAGCCGCGGUAAUACGUAGGGUGCGAGCGUUAAUCGGAAUUACUGGGCGUAAAGCGUGCGCAGGCGGUUAUGUAAGACAGUUGUGAAAUCCCCGGGCUCAACCUGGGAAUUGCAUCUGUGACUGCAUAGCUAGAGUACGGUAGAGGGGGAUGGAAUUCCGCGUGUAGCAGUGAAAUGCGUAGAUAUGCGGAGGAACACCGAUGGCGAAGGCAAUCCCCUGGACCUGUACUGACGCUCAUGCACGAAAGCGUGGGGAGCAAACAGGAUUAGAUACCCUGGUAGUCCACGCCCUAAACGAUGUCAACUGGUUGUUGGGUGCAUUAGUACUCA